CCGGCACGGGUGAGUAACACGUAUCCAACCUGCCGUCUACUCUUGGCCAGCCUUCUGAAAGGAAGAUUAAUACAAGAUGGCAUCAUGAGUCCGCAUGUUCACAUGAUUAAAGGUGUUCCGGUAGACGAUGGGGAUGCGUUCCAUUAGAUAGUAGGCGGGGUAACGGCCCACCUAGUCUUCGAUGGAUAGGGGUUCUGAGAGGAAGGUCCCCCACAUUGGAACUGAGACACGGUCCAA
rnacentral:rRNA from 1 species